rnacentral:rRNA from 1 species
GCAGUCGAACGCUUCUUUUCCCACCGGAGCUUGCUCCACCGGGAAAAGAGGAGUGGCGAACGGGUGAGUAACACGUGGGUAACCUGCCCAUCAGAAGGGGAUAACACUUGGAAACAGGUGCUAAUACCGUAUAACAAUCGAAACCGCAUGGUUUCGUUUUGAAAGGCGCUUUACGGUGCCGCUGAUGGAUGGACCCGCGGUGCAUUAGCUAGUUGGUGAGGUAACGGCUCACCAAGGCCACGAUGCAUAGCCGACCUGAGAGGGUGAUCGGCCACAUUGGGACUGAGACACGGCCCAAACUCCUACGGGAGGCAGCAGUAGGGAAUCUUCGGCAAUGGACGAAAGUCUGACCGAGCAACGCCGCGUGAGUGAAGAAGGUUUUCGGAUCGUAAAACUCUGUUGUUAGAGAAGAACAAGGGUGAGAGUAACUGUUCACCCCUUGACGGUAUCUAACCAGAAAGCCACGGCUAACUACGUGCCAGCAGCCGCGGUAAUACGUAGGUGGCAAGCGUUGUCCGGAUUUAUUGGGCGUAAAGCGAGCGCAGGCGGUUUCUUAAGUCUGAUGUGAAAGCCCCCGGCUCAACCGGGGAGGGUCAUUGGAAACUGGGAGACUUGAGUGCAGAAGAGGAGAGUGGAAUUCCAUGUGUAGCGGUGAAAUGCGUAGAUAUAUGGAGGAACACCAGUGGCGAAGGCGGCUCUCUGGUCUGUAACUGACGCUGAGGCUCGAAAGCGUGGGGAGCAAACAGGAUUAGAUACCCUGGUAGUCCACGCCGUAAACGAUGAGUGCUAAGUGUUGGAGGGUUUCCGCCCUUCAGUGCUGCAGCUAACGCAUUAAGCACUCCGCCUGGGGAGUACGACCGCAAGGUUGAAACUCAAAGGAAUUGACGGGGGCCCGCACAAGCGGUGGAGCAUGUGGUUUAAUUCGAAGCAACGCGAAGAACCUUACCAGGUCUUGACAUCCUUUGACCACUCUAGAGAUAGAGCUUCCCCUUCGGGGGCAAAGUGACAGGUGGUGCAUGGUUGUCGUCAGCUCGUGUCGUGAGAUGUUGGGUUAAGUCCCGCAACGAGCGCAACCCUUAUUGUUAGUUGCCAUCAUUUAGUUGGGCACUCUAGCAAGACUGCCGGUGACAAACCGGAGGAAGGUGGGGAUGACGUCAAAUCAUCAUGCCCCUUAUGACCUGGGCUACACACGUGCUACAAUGGGAAGUACAACGAGUCGCGAAGUCGCGAGGCUAAGCUAAUCUCUUAAAGCUUCUCUCAGUUCGGAUUGUAGGCUGCAACUCGCCUACAUGAAGCCGGAAUCGCUAGUAAUCGCGGAUCAGCACGCCGCGGUGAAUACGUUCCCGGGCCUUGUACACACCGCCCGUCACACCACGAGAGUUUGUAACACCCGAAGUCGGUGAGGUAACCUUUUGGAGCC